rnacentral:rRNA from 1 species
UACGGAGGGGGCUAGCGUUGUUCGGAAUUACUGGGCGUAAAGCGCGCGUAGGCGGAUAGUUAAGUCGGGGGUGAAAUCCCGGGGCUCAACCCCGGAAUUGCCUUCGAUACUGGCUAUCUAGAGGUCGAGAGAGGUGAGUGGAAUUCCGAGUGUAGAGGUGAAAUUCGUAGAUAUUCGGAGGAACACCAGUGGCGAAGGCGGCUCACUGGCUCGAUACUGACGCUGAGGUGCGAAAGCGUGGGGAGCAAAC